AUCCAGCUGACGAGUCCCAAAUAGGAUGAAACGCGAGUCCUACUGGAU
rnacentral:hammerhead_ribozyme from 1 species